rnacentral:lncRNA from 1 species
CCCCCUGAAUUCUUUCUAACACCCGGUGGACCACCUCUUUGGGUGUCAUUAGCAGAAAAGGGUUAUUAUGGAUUUAAGCCUACAGUUUGUGCUCUUUGCAACUCAAGGACCCAUGAUAUUUUACAAUGUCCUGAGAGGAAAUAUUUUCCAGAUUAUGUCCAAGAGUAUAUAUAUAUGAGAAUCGAUUCAAAAUGGAACUGGAAUAAUCCCCAUUCAGAGUUCUACACUAAAAGUUUGAAAGAGCAUCUUGGGCAAUAUUUCGAGCAGCUUAAUGUGCCACAAGAGCUUUCGGUGGAGGACAAGCUCGCUAAAUUGUUGGAAUUAACUGACUUAUACAUUGAAAUAACAAAUGAAGGAUUUCAAAUUCAAGCAGUAAACCGUGGGAAAAGCUAUGAUGAUCAAGAGGUUGGUGCAGGAACUGAGGAGCCAUCUGUCUGUUAUUCACGUCCAAAGGAGGAAACAGCCCAUGAUGACCUUGAAAAUUCCAUAGAAUCUGCUCCUUCAAAAGUCUGUGUGCCACUCAUGCACUAUCCCGAGACUCCAAGGCGACCCGCUAAGCAGCAAGAAUGCAUGAAUACUCUGACAAAUCUAAAUAUAGGACAGCUGCUUACUGAUUAGAAAAUUUUAGCGGCGGUAACGGACAGUGCACCUGCACAGCCCAUCAAAUUCAAAGAAAUGCCAGAUGAGUCCUGCAAACAGGCAAAGAUCCACAAGGAAACAAAGAAAAAGCUUAAUGGCAACCUAAUUCUUCGUCAAGAAAUUCGGCCAAUGCAGAAAUUGUGGGUGUCAAAUACAAGGUUUAAGUCAGUUCGACGAAGACGUAAACAUUGCUGGAAGGGAUCCUAUUUUAUUACAACAUUUCAUUCAUAUAGAAGGGCUAAUAUGAAGGAUUCAACCACUUCCCUGAAACACAUAAUUGACAAACAUCAUCUCAUUCCGUACCUACUGUUGUUGUAUGAUGCUAUCAAGGAGUGGUUGAUUAUAAGAGAACAAGUGACGUGAUUAUCAAUUCAUUCCUCUACGUCUAGCUAUAGACAUUAACUACAGCGCUUAUUGGGAGGCAACCCAAUUUUUCUAAACUCUUUUCUUUUUAUUUUCGUUCAUUUUAUUUUCUUCCUUCUAGUCUUUAUCACAAAAAAAAAACAAAAACAAAACAAAAAAAUCAGAAAAUUGAAAAACACAAAAACAGCAAUUGUUUUUCGUUAAUCAGUAUUUUAUUUUGGGAUUUACUCGAAUUAGAUUUUUAAUCUGUGUUUUUUUUUUUUUUUUUUUUUUUUUGCAGGUUGCAUUUGGACUCGAAGGGCCCUAAAUAUCCAUUAAGCGCGCAAAAUUCAACUGAAUCAUGCUUUUAGCAGCAUUUGGGGUCAUCACUGGUGGCGAAUAAAAUUGUUACCUCUGCAUGACUCGGGUCCGCGAUGUCCUCAAUGUUUGUUUUGUCCUUGCUAUUGUUCAGCUCCAGCUCGAUAACCUUUGCACCCUAACGAGAUGUACAGAUUUUACACAUGCGGUGAAGUUAUAUGAGACAUGCAGUAAGAGAUCAGUUAUGGAGGGUUGUGAGUUUACCUUUUUGUGUUUCGGAUCUGAGCUAAUCGAGUGUUGUUUUUCCUUUUGCCCAUUAUGACUUCUGCGGAUCCGACAUCCCUUACACAAAUCAGCCAAGCCUCUGUUAGUUUGUUUCUUUUCUGUAUCAAAAAAAAAAAUCAUCAGAUGGAUUACACCAGGUUAGGGGUGAUGUUUACCUCUGUGGGACGAUUGGAGCUGAAAUGUGUCUACAUUUCCAUGACCGCAAUUGUUUUGGGUUGUGCAGAAAAGAGAGAGGGCUGAAAAAUAAAAUGGAAGGUUUGCAGGAAGAGGGAUGCCGAAUUGAGAAGGAUUAAAAGCCUUUUUAGCUUUUCUAGAGAGAGCAGAGAUAUGGGGUCUGAGAGAAAAGAGAGAGGGAGUAGAGAUGAAAUGGGGAAAUGAGAGAAGUCAAUAGAGAGAUUAAAAACCUUUUCAGAUUUUCUAGGGAGAGGACGAUGGGCAUAUGGGGUUGAUAUUAACCCUUGAUUCGAAUCCUAUGGAGCUUCUCUUUCCGAUGCAUGACAACUGGGCGCAUCCUCCUCUUUUAGGCUCCCUAGGACACGGUUUGAAGAGAGGGGAGAGAGCCGUUUGGGCUCUGUGUUUGAUAUUGACAGAGACAUCAACCUGACGCCAGCUGCACGCCACUUUGACACGGCAUGCCAAUUGCAUGCCUUUCAAAGAAGCAUCCAAUGUUUUCCUGUGUGUGUGCACGGGUUUUGGUGCACAUGUGCUGUAAACAUGGACUUGGUGUGCGAGUUGGGAUCAUGCCCCAAGGCUAUUCAAUCACUCACAUCACAGCCAUGUGGAAUCAUUUUUUCCAAGCACACAGUUUAUCAUUAGUCACGGCUCCAUGACCUUCCAAAUAAAACACCAGGUGCAUGUUUUCCUUUCUUUACUUUUGUUUCUUUUGUUACUUUUCCUUGGCUUUUCUUUAGUUUUUAUUAUUUUAUUAUAUUUUAUAUUUUUUUUAAUUUUUUAAUUUUUUUUUUUUUAGUUGUUAUGUUUAGUCAGGUUUCGUUUUUGUUGUUUUUUUUAUUUGCAUUUAUUUUCCACACCUUGAGGACAAAGUGUGAAAU